rnacentral:lncRNA from 1 species
UCUCUUUCUCUACCGAAUCAAAUCGUAAGUGUCUCUUUGCCUGCAUUUCUUUACUCACAUACCAUUGUUUAUUGUAGUUUCUGUUUAGAUUUGUCAUCUAAAAAUGUGACUUUUUUCACAUUCUUAGAAGCUUUCCUGUGCUGUGAUGUCUUUUAAUCUCUUUUUUUUCCCGACCCAUGUUGUAAAAAGUAGUUUUUCUUACAAUCUCAUUGUUGAUAUUAGCAAGUGUCCUUACCCUUUCACGUUUUAGGGUUCUUGUUUGUUGUAUUUAUGGUAAAAUUUAUGCUACUGAUGAUUAGUUUUAACAGGGGUGUCAAUGGAAGUAGGAAUUUGGAGUGUAAAAAUGUGAUUUUUUUGACAGUUGCAGGUUUUGCUCUGAAGUAAUGGAUUUUAAUCUCCUUUUUUCCGACCCAUUAUAGAGAAAGUAGUUUUUAUACUUUCUUAUUGUUGAGAUUACUGAGGGUUCUUAUCGUUGUAUGUUUUAGGGUUCUUAGUAGUUGUAUUUAUGGUAAAUCUAUGUGAGUGAUGAUUAGCUUUAAUGGUGGUGUAAUUGGAAGUAGGAAUUUUGAAAGUAAAAGAGGCAAUAAAAUGGGUGGUGCUUUAAGCAAGUAGUUUAUGAUGUUCUGUGUAAGUGGGUUGAUGUGUGUGUGAUCUUGUUCUAUUACAGAGAACACACUUCUAUUGUUGCAUUGUAUUCUCAGUACUCUCUCUCACAGAUGGACCUUAUUAUGCUUAUUUGAUAACGGGUGGUGGUGAGAAUUUGUUUCUUGUUCUUUUAUAAAGGAAGCUUAUGGAUGUAGGUCUGUGUAUUGGUAAUUAUUGUGUUGCCUUCUGUUGAGUCCUCACCGUGGCUAUUUUGCUUUCCAGAUUUCUGAAUUUUGCUGGUCUGUCUCUAAUCUAUGGUUAUGAAUACAUGUGAAUUGUGCUGUCAACCUAGUGUCUUUUAGAGGACAUUGACUGUAUCUUGAUAUCAUUUGAUUCUUUUUGUUUGUCUUUUUGAGCUAUUUUUGCGGUUACUUUUUUUUGACUGUGCAUCUGAUUAUUGCAUAUACUGGGUACAGUUAGAUAAGAAAAGAUGGUCAGAGUUAGCGUGCUGAAUGAUGCUCUCAAGAGCAUGUACAAUGCUGAAAAGAGGGGAAAGCGUCAGGUCAUGAUUAGACCUUCAUCAAAAGUCAUCAUCAAGUUCCUCAUUGUUAUGCAGAAGCAUGGUAUGUUAAUUUCUUAACUGUAUGCACUGCAGCAUCACCCUAUCAUUUUCUUACUGUUAUCUAUGUGUAGGUUACAUUGGAGAAUUUGAGUACGUCGAUGAUCAUAGGUCCGGAAAGAUUGUUGUCGAACUGAACGGAAGACUAAACAAGUGUGGUGUCAUUAGUCCUCGCUUUGAUGUUGGAGUCAAGGAGAUUGAAGGAUGGACUGCUAGAUUGCUCCCUUCACGACAGGUAUAGUAAUUAAUAUAUUCACUUUGUUUCCUUGAUCAAUAUAUAGAACUCUAUUUCUGGUUAUCUCCAAAUUGAGCCUUGCUUCUAGCGUCCGAAAUGAUUGUUGGGGUGAACAAGUCAUGGUCAUAUUAGCUUUUGAAAUAGACAUAAAUAUUAUUUUUUGAUUCCUUACUUCUUUGUUGAAACAAGUCGUGGUCAUAUUAUCUUGUGAAAUAGACAUUAAUAAUCCUUGAUUUCUUCUUUGCUGAAUCAUGAAUUGGCUUGCUACUUGGGCGUUUAACCAAUGUUCCAUUGUGAAAUUUGAAAAAAGUAGUUUUGUUUCAAAGGGAAGAAAUGAUAUUUGAAAAUUAUUGCUACUUCUUAAGCAUUAAAAAUCUUGACUACUUGGGGCAAUCAUCUUUAAUGCUUACAAGACCCAUCCAUUUAUAAUUGUCACAUAGCAAGCGCUCUUUGUAGAUGCUAGCAGUUGAGGCUCUCCUGUAAAGGAAGCAUUCCUCUAUUACCAAAAGGGGAAAUUUUGUAUCCUAUGGCUUGGCUAACAGAGUCUCGAUCUGCAGUUAUAUUUGUAUUAGUCCAUGAGAAGCGUGUUUCUUUGAAGAAGUAUCUCAAGAGUCAUUCUGUGGAUUGAAGUGUCAUAUGUAGUUCAUACUAUACUUGAUACUAAGCAAAUGAAAUUGCAGACAUUUUCUGUGAUCAGAGAUGCAGUAAAAGUCGUACUUGUUUGUCAGUUUUAUUGUGUCUAUUUUAUGUGUUGAUCUUUGCAUAUUGGUUUUCAACUUGCAGUUUGGGUACAUUGUGCUGACUACCUCAGCUGGUAUCAUGGACCAUGAAGAGGCUAGGAGAAAGAAUGUUGGUGGAAAAGUUCUUGGUUUCUUUUAUUGAGUCAUGUUGACAAGAAUGAAAACUUUGGUUUUGUUGUUUGUUGGCUCGUUGUAUCAGACCUUUUUCUGUUAUUCUUUUUCUUGUUACCAUCAAAUUUAGUAGGGAUUUUAUUGAAAAUUUUGGGAGGACUAUCUGAUUUUGUUGAAAAAGUUGCGGGUGCUUAUAGCCUGUCGAGACAAGUGACAUCUAAAGUUGCAGAUGUUCGUGCUUGUGUUUUUUUAAUCCCAUAUUGUGUUAAGAGUAUAUCAUUUGUGCAAACAGUGAAUUUGAUUAAUUAUUUUCGUAAAGUUCACAUCAUAAAAUAGACAUAGUGAAGUUCUUAGAUGUACUUGAUUAUAAGGUUUUACUAGUAUUCUUGUCCGCGUGUUACAUGGAUAUUAUAAAAUAUGAUUAUGCUUUUUUAAUUAUUACAAAACUAAAUCUAAUUGUAUUUUUAUAGUAUUAUCGUAACUAAAAUAAUAUAAAAUGUGCUAUAUGUAAAUAUUAAUUUUUGAGAUUUUGUAAAACUAUAGCGGGAGCAUCAAAUGUUAAAAAUGAAACAAACUUCAAUGUAGCAACAUCAGUUUAUGAAUUUCAGUCAACUACAAAACUUUCCAAUUAUGAGGACUUCGGGAGAAUGAAGUCAGAAAUUUCUCAAGCUGAAUUCUCCAGAAACAAGCCAUCGGACUUGCCAAAAGUUUGAACCAUGGACGUUGAUUUAAGCUCAUUUGACAGUGAUAUUUCCUAAAUUGAUUCUCCAAAACGUUCUUUUCCUUAAAGACUCUUUAAUAUGUCAAAUGUUUUGUAUAAUCUCACUUGUGUUUAUUGAGAAGCAAGAGAUCGAAGUGAUCAACUGAAGAUAACAAGACAAGGAGCAAACUUCUAAGUUUGUUUAAAACUAAUAACUUUUCUUUGGAUGCAAAUUUAUAAGAUUAUCUCAACAUCACAUAUUCCUCCAUUCAAUGAAUAUGGAAAAUUCAAACGGCGAGCAACUGUCCGAAAUAAACAAUUUUUAUGUGGAUGUAGGACAGUUAUUGAAGUUCUUUGAAAGAAAAAGAAGCCGUUCAAAAUAUGAGCAACAACACCUCAUCCAAAUCUCCAACAAAGCAUGAGUCGCAAUAAACUUAAAAUGUUCAAAGUAGGAACAAACGAAAGCACCACUCAACGUGCACAAAAAUAUUCAAUGAUAUCAAAUUACAUAUGAAUAAUAUUCACAAAUUCCUUCAAUAUGAGACGCGGUAAUGGGAACCACCUAGAGGGUCAUCAUCUUCAAAUGCCAAGAGGGUCAUUGCAUCUUCAAACGUCGAGAGGUUCAUCACCUUUAAAUGUCGAGAGUCAUUGCAUCUUCAAACGCCAAGAGGACCAUUGCAUCUUCAAACACCAAGAAGGCCAUCAUCUUCAUUUGCAGAGAGAGUCAUUGCAGUUAAACACCGAGAGGGUCAUUGCAUCCUUAAUCGCCAAGAAGGAAAUUACAUCUUUCAUUAUCGAAAGGUCCAUUGCAUCUUCAAAUGCCGAGAGAACCAUCAUAUAUGCAAAUGCCAAGAGGGUCAUUGUACAUUCAAACGCCGAGAGGGUCAUCAUUUCCAAACCACCAAGAGGGCUAUUACAUCUUCAACCGCCAAGAGGGACAUCAUCUUCCAUUUUCAAGAGGGCCAUUACAUAUUCAAACCGCCAAGAGGACCAUUACAUAUUCAAACCACCAAGAGGGUCAUUGCAUAUUCAAAUUACCGAGAGGAUCAUCAUCUCAAAUGCCGAAAGGAAUAUCAUCUUCAAAUGCCAGAAGGUCAUUGCAUUCAAGCCGCCAAGAGGGUCAUUGCAUUUUCAAACGCUGAGAGGGCCAUCAUCUUCAUAUGCCAAGAGGGUCACUGCAUCUUCAAACGUUGUGAGGGCAUCUUCAAAUGAUGAGAAGUCCAUCACUUUCAUUUACCAAGAGGGCCAUUCAAACGCCGAGAGGGCGAUCAUCUUUAUAUGCCAAGAGGGCUAUUGCAUCUUCAAAUGCCGAGAGGGACAUUGCAUUCAAGUCGCCAAAAGGGCAAUUGAAUAUCCAAAUGUCGAGAGGUCCAUCACCUUCAAACGCCGAGAGGGUCAUUACAUUAGAAAGCCGAGAGGACCAUUGCAUUUAAACGCCGAGAGGGCCAUUGCAUCUUCAACCGCCAAGAAAGCCAUUGCAUCUUCAAAUUUCGAAAGAGUCAUUGCUUCUUCCAAUGCCAAGAGAGCAAUAUCAUCUUACCAGUAAAGCUUUGACAACAUCGUCAUAUCAUUAGAUUAAUAUCAUCCUGCCAAUGGACCAUCAAUGUAGCAAUAUCAUCUUAUCAAUCGACCAUCAACAUCUUCAUCAUCAAUGUAGCAACAUCAUUUUAUCAAUGAAGUAUCAUUAUCAACAAUAUUACAUUAUCGAUAAAGUCAUUAUUAUGUCGCAUCAUAUCAAUCCAUUAUCUACUGUGUCAACACUGAUAAAGAUUGACCUCAAAAUAUUUAGAAAAAAAUGUGUCUCGAAUAGGGUAAAACAUAACACCUCUCUGGAAAAAUUCCAGUUUCAAUUAACAAGGUUUUCCCAAUCUUUGUCGAGAGCAUCCAAGAGGAUGAAUUCCCAAAUCAAACCAUAGAUGCGGAUGACAUCAAAAGGGAUGCAACACCACGUGGAAAUUUUCUUAGCGGGGAACUUGGACAUAGUCCAAAGAGGAGUAUCAAACUCUUAGGACGCGAGGUGAGGAGAAACCUCCACCAUAAUCAAACCACACCACUGUCAGGCAUGUGAAUUUCUCUUUUAGUUUAUUAGUUUCAAUUUCGCAUUCAGAAAACUUCCCACUCUCACCGAAUUUUACACCAUUAUCAAGAUUUUAAAAAAAAUUGUAAAAACUUUCAUAUUUUAAAUUGAUUUUUUAAAUUUAUAAAGUCUCAAAAAAUCAUGGUGCCGACACGUGCCACUUUUUUUUCUCCUAUUAUAUAUAGAUGGAUACUAAUAUGUUAUAUAUAUAUAUAUAUAUACUAAAAAAAUAAAAAAUAAAAUAAGAAAAAAGGGAUACUAAAAAAUAGCGUUGAAAUAAUUUUUUUUAAAAAUGUAGAAUUAUAGAAGAGAAUUUAUCAAAGAAAAAAUUAAUACAGAUAAUCACUUCAAAUAUACUUAUUACUUAACCAUUCAUCCUCCAUUAUAGUAAUUCUAAACAUUUACUUAACUUUUUCUCCUACACUUUAAUUAUAUGAAAAUAUUAUUUAUCGUUAAUGAUUAUAAAUAUUCACAUUAUUUGUGAACAUUUUUUUUAUGUUUACUUUAUUUAGAAAAAAUUCAAGAGUCUAAUUAUAAGUUUUUAUUAGAUAUAUAAGUUUUUUUUUAAUCUUAACAUAAAAACUUUUAUCAUUCAUUUAUAAUUGUUCAUUUAUUACUUAUUUUAUUAUGCAUUUUAACAAUAAUAUAUUGUUUUUAUGUUAAUUUUAUAUCACUAAAAAUUAUUUUACCGAACUAAAAUCAUGUAUCACCCAUUUCGUUCCAAAGAAUCAAUUACUUUUUUAAGUAUUCAAAUUAUAGAUAGCUUAUCUAUUACAAAUAAUUUUUCAUAUUUCUAAGACUGUUUUUAAAUUUAUUACUAUUUUAUUUCUUUUGAUAUUUUAAUUUUUUUUUUAAAAGACUAAAAAUCUCACUUUAAAUUUUUAACAAAAUAUCAAAGUUAAUCAUAUUUAAUAUUGAGAAUUCAUUCAAAUGGAUAAUAAAGUCAUGAAUUCUUAAUUAUAUAUUUUAACUAACAUAAAAGAAUAGGUACUAUUCAACAAAAAGAAAGUAUAGGUAUUUGACCGUAUUGCUAAUUUAAGGUAUUUAUUUUUUAAUAAAAUUAAUUCAUGAAUUGAGUUGAAAUUACAAAGCUAAAUAAUAAAAUUUAUUAGCUAAUCUAUUUGGAUUUAAGAAUUAAAUAAAAAUGAAAACUUUAUACACUGCGCGUAGCACAGCUACUUUUAUUAGUUGUCUAAAUAAGAGAAUUUUCAGUUUCAAUAAUUUUUAAAUUUGAUGAUGAAUGCAACAAAACAUAUAAAGUUUCUUUAUAUAUGUCAUUUCAUAAAAUUAAUGCAUAAAUGAACUUUUUUUAUUUUAUUUCGCACUUGCGAGUUAUCUUAAAAAUAUAUAUUUCAUCAACUAGACAAAUUGAAGGAGUAAUUCAUAUUCUUUAGUUACAUUAAUCAAUCAAAAUAAAUUAAUUUAUAUUAAUUAAUCAAAAAACUUAACUUCAAAAAAUCAUUAAAUAAAAAAAGAAAGUUGUAAACUUAUUUAGUUUCUCGAUGUACAUAAAACUUAAUAUGGAGACAUGUAAAUAAGAAUAAAGGGAGUAUAAACGUAACAAAAAAUAAUUUUUUUAAAGAGUAUUUUAAAACCACAUUAUAGAAAAAUGUAACAAGUAUUAUUUUUAUACAAUACAGUAUACAUUAUAUGGGGAGUUUCCAUUUGGUCAAAAAAUGAUUUUGGGCCCAAGUGCUUCUUCUUCCUAACAAUAAUAAAACCUAAAACCCUACGUUUAUUAGUAAAAACCAGUGCUUCAUAUUGCCGCCUCUUUGCUCCUCCGCAGCAACAACUCUUGUGAUCUCUUUCUCUACCGAAUCAAAUCGUAAGUGUCUCUUUGCCUGCAUUUCUUUACUCACAUACCAUUGUUUAUUGUAGUUUCUGUUUAGAUUUGUCAUCUAAAAAUGUGACUUUUUUCACAUUCUUAGAAGCUUUCCUGUGCUGUGAUGUCUUUUAAUCUCUUUUUUUUCCCGACCCAUGUUGUAAAAAGUAGUUUUUCUUACAAUCUCAUUGUUGAUAUUAGCUAUUAGCUAUGCUUCUUGAUAGUUGUAUUUAUUGUAAAAUUUAUGCUUGUGAUGAAUGGAAGUAUUAAUUUGGAGAGUAAAAAUGUUAUCUUUUUUGACGAUCUUUGAGUCUUUGCUCUGAUGUGAUGGCUUUAAAACCUUUUUUUUUCCGACCCAUGAUGGAGAUACUAGUAUUACAUACUUAUUGUUGAUAUUAGCAAGUGUGCUUACCCUUUCACGUUUUAGGGUUCUUGGUUGUUGUAUUUAUGGUAAAAUUUAUGCUAGUGAUGAUUAGUUUUAACAGGGGUGUGAAUGGAAGUAGGAAUUUGGAGGGUAAAAAUGUGAUUUUUUUGACAGCUACAGGUUUUGCUGUGAAUUGUGAACUGAUGGAUUUUAAUCUCUUUUUUUUUCCGACCCAUGAUAGAGCAAGUAGUUUUUAUACUAUCUGAUUGUGGAGAUUAGUGAGGGUUCUAAUCCUUUUAUGUUUUAGGGUUCUUAGUAGUUGUAUUUAUGGUAAAUCUUUGUGAGUGAUAAUUAGUUUUAAUGGGGGUGUAAUUGGAAGUAGGAAUUUGGAAAGUAAAAGAGGCAAUAAAAUUAAGCAAAUAGUUUAUGAUGUUCUGUGUAAGUGGGUUGAUGUGUGUGAUCUUGUUCUAUUACAGAGAACACACUUGUUACACUUUUUGAUAAUGCGUGGUGGUGAGAAUUUGUUUCUUGUUCUUUUAUAAAGGAAACUUAUUGAUGUAGGUCUGUAUAUUGGUAACUAUUGUGUUGCCUUCUGUUGAGUCCUAUCCGUGGCUAUUUUGUUUUCAUGAUUCUGAAGUUUGCUGGUCUGGUUUCUAAUCUAUAGUCACUAAUACAUGUGAAUUUGUGCUGUCAAACCUAGUGUCUUUAAGAGGGCAUUGACUAUAUCUUGCUAUCAUUUGAUUCUUUUUGUUUGUCUUUUUGGAGCUAUUUUUGUGGUUACUUUUUUCGAUGGUGCAUCUGAUUAUUGCAUAAACUGGGUACAGUUAGAUAAGAAAAGAUGGUCAGAGUUAGCGUGCUGAAUGAUGCUCUCAAGAGCAUGUACAAUGCUGAAAAGAGGGGAAAGCGUCAGGUCAUGAUUAGACCUUCAUCAAAAGUCAUCAUCAAGUUCCUCAUUGUUAUGCAGAAGCAUGGUAUGUUAAUUUCUUAACUGUAUGCACUGCAGCAUCACCCUAUCAUUUUCUUAGUGUUAUCUAUGUGUAGGUUACAUCGGAGAAUUUG